GAUGAACGCUGGCGGCGUGCCUAAUACAUGCAAGUCGAGCGAACAGACGAGGAGCUUGCUCCUCUGACGUUAGCGGCGGACGGGUGAGUAACACGUGGAUAACCUACCUAUAAGACUGGGAUAACUUCGGGAAACCGGAGCUAAUACCGGAUAACAUGUUGAACCGCAUGGUUCAACAGUGAAAGACGGUCUUGCUGUCACUUAUAGAUGGAUCCGCGCCGCAUUAGCUAGUUGGUAAGGUAACGGCUUACCAAGGCAACGAUGCGUAGCCGACCUGAGAGGGUGAUCGGCCACACUGGAACUGAGACACGGUCCAGACUCCUACGGGAGGCAGCAGUAGGGAAUCUUCCGCAAUGGGCGAAAGCCUGACGGAGCAACGCCGCGUGAGUGAAGAAGGUCUUCGGAUCGUAAAACUCUGUUAUUAGGGAAGAACAAAUGUGUAAGUAACUAUGCACGUCUUGACGGGACCUAAUCAGAAAGCCACGGCCAACUACGU
rnacentral:rRNA from 1 species